rnacentral:rRNA from 1 species
CCUACGGGUGACUGCAGUAGGGAAUCUUCCACAAUGGGCGAAAGCCUGAUGGAGCAACGCCGCGUGGGUGAAGAAGGUCUUCGGAUCGUAAAACCCGGUUGGUAGAGAAGAAAGUGCGUGAGAGUAACUGUUCACGUGUCGACGGUAUCUAACCAGAAAGCCACGGCUAACUACGUGCCAGCAGCCGCGGUAAUACGUAGGUGGCAAGCGUUAUCCGGAUUUAUUGGGCGUAAAGGGAACGCAGGCGGUCUUUUAAGUCUGAUGUGAAAGCCUUCGGCUUAACCGGAGUAGGGCCUUGGAAACUGGGAGACUUGAGUGCAGCAGAGGCGAGUGGAACUCCAUUUGUAGCUGU